rnacentral:sRNA from 1 species
GCUGGGUGGGGUGGUGCACACCUAUAGUCCCAGGGUUUUGGGAAGCUGAAGCAGGAGGAUUGCUUGAGCCCAGGAGGAGUUGGAGAUCCAGCUGGGCAACAUAGUAAGACCAU